UACACAUUUCAAAUAUUGAAAAUUUGGGUGACCCAGUCUAAAAUGCUAUAACAUAAUUUCUCUAUUUCUAGGGACAAAUGUAGAAUUACAAAGUGUAAUUUCAUGUUGUUUAUUCUCAUCAACUUCUUCAAAAUAGCAGAGUACUUCACACUCCUUAGCAUUGUUAAUUGUCUUUCCCGGUGAUAGUUCCUGAAAAACAUAAUGAGAUGGGAGGGAAGGAAUUUAGCAGAGCACUUAGAAUUUUUUUUCAUCUGACUUACUGAUAAUAAAUUACAAGAUAAAUUUGGAAAACGAAGGAUGGAUUAUAGGAUUAUAGAAUCAGAGAUUUGAAUACUCCAUUUUCCUGCAACUUAUGAGAGUGAUUCAUCUACAAUUUUAACUUUAAGAUUACUAGCACAGGGUUAAGUAUGAGAAAAACCUAUGAUAAGAGUUCAUCAUGUGAUCGGAUGCUUCAGGGAGUUUUAGAUUGAGUGGUAGAUUUUAAGGCUCUCAAAAAAUUACCUUCGUGUUCCAGGGAACUUCACUGACCAUUCGUGGAAGUUUCAUUGGGCUUUUGAAGACUGGACAGAAUUUUGUAGAUUUGCUCUAUCUAUUCGGAAGUAAACUGGCUAUUGUGUAACUCUUGGGGUUUUCUGUUUGAUAAUCGAUCAACGCUCAGUAUCCACGGCUUUUUUUGUUUUGUCUUAAUUUCCAAUUUGUCAGUUUUCCAUGUAAGUCCCAACAUGUGCCCUCUUUAUGUCCCAGCUUCCUACAAUGUUCACACCAGGGUUGCCCUUUUUGUUAUUUUGGGCCUUACCUAUUUGCUGCCCCCUUUAAGUGAAGGCCCAUAGCUUCAGGCCCAACGCCAGAAUUUUUUAGCAACUCAUAUGAAUUUUGGGCUCCAUUUUUUUAUAAACCCAGGUCCAUUACUCGCCAGCCUAAUACCUAGUGGCCUUUGAUAAUAGGGCCGAUACUUCAACUCCAGACCAAUCACUCCACCAAUCUCCUCCAACACGAUUUUUAGUCGAUUUUUCUCUCGUCGAAAACUUCUGUGAAGACAUCCCUCGUGGAUAAUAAUGGCCGACGGUCCAAGAAUUCGACCCCUCACGUCAUCAAGGUUGCGAUGCAGUCCAGCCAAGAACUCGUAUACUCUCUCGUUUUCUAAUUUUUUUCUUGUAAAAGAGAGCUAUCCCCCGGGCAUUCCCAUUCUUCUUCAGAACUCAGGUCGAGUUAUUGCUAGUAUGCUUUCAUCUCCAGAGUCUGACUAUGUCUCCUUGACUGUGUCCCAUACAUCCUUCACGGUUGGUAGAAACAAGUAAGUUUUUCUGAUGAUCGGUUUCAUGGAGUUUAUGAGCCACGCUGUAACCACAGAGUUCUCAAACCUCCACUUUUGAAGAAGUGCAGCGUUGGUGGACUUCUUUGUUUCUCCAAUGAGGUAACUCAAUUUUUCUUUUCCAUCAAUUAUUAACUUGAUCAAUUGAGCCCAUUCUCGAAAGUUCUUCCCAUUUAGUUUUUUGAUUGUUAGUUGAAAAGAUGGAUUUUCCUCGGAACCUGCGGCAGAAGGUGCUUAAAAUUCACCAUUAAGAGAGUCAGAGGUUGCAGAUCCUUCGUUAUUGGUGGUGGCUUCUGUCAUGAUUUUGUUGUUGCCUUGGAGAACCACGGAACUCAUGAUUCGUCCGGUGCUCGAGUAUCCAGACCACGGCUCCCACGAAGACAAAAAACACGACAGUUAAACACC